rnacentral:rRNA from 1 species
ACCGGCAGCUAGCUCUCUGCAACUCUCACAUGGUCACCUACUGAAGCUAAGCAGGGCUGCGCCUGGUCAGUACCUGGAUGGAAGACCACAUGGGAAAGCUAGGUUGCUGCCGGAA